AGUUUGAUAGUUGAUCAAUCGAUAGUGCGGCGGACUGUUAAUCCGGAGGUCGCCAGUUCGAAUCUGGCACGGCCUA
rnacentral:tRNA from 1 species